GGAACAGCCGGGAGUGGGGAACGGCUGCGUCCGCUUCUCUCGUCCAGCCUGGACGACAGCAAGGAGAGACACGAGCACCUGGACGUUAAUUCCCGAUGGAAAAAAAGUCUGAGCGAGAUGGUUUACUGCAGAGAGCACCUGAGAGGCCAUCAAAAGAGUGCAGGGCUGGAGAAGAGCAGCUCAGAGCACUCUGCCUUGCUCACAUCACCACAACAGCAGCAGAGGGAAAACACUCCUGACACGGCAUUUCCUUUGCUGCAUCCUCUGUGUGAUGCCCACUGUGUGAUGGGCAGGAAUAGCAGGAGGUGACACUGAUGAUUUCAAGCUUUAAUACCCACCUUUGUGGGGCCAGCUUCCAACAGG